AUUGAACGCUGGCGGCAGGCCUAACACAUGCAAGUCGAGCGGAGCGGCGGACGGGUGAGUAAUGCCUAGGACUCUGCCUGGUCGUGGGGGAUAACGUCCGGAACCGGGCGCUAAUACCGCAUACUAUCCUAUGGGCCUAGGUCGGAUUGGCUAGUUGGUGGGGUAAAGGACUACCAAGGCGGCGAUCCGCAGAUGGUCGGAGAGGAUGAUCAGUCCCACGGGAACUGAGACAGGGUCCAGACGCAUACGGGAGGCAGCAGUGGGGAAGAUUGGACAAUGGGCGAAAGCCUGAGCCAGCCAUGCCGCGGGGGUGAAGAAGGUCUGCGGAUUGUAAAGCACUUUAAGUUGGGAGGCGUUACCAACAGAAUAAGCACCGGCUAACUUCGUGCCAGCAGCCGCGGUAAUAC
rnacentral:rRNA from 1 species